AGUAACGCGUAGGAAUCUACCAAAUAGCGGGGGAUAGCCCGGAGAAAUCCGGAUUAAUACCGCAUAAUCUCUACGGAGUAAAGAGGGCCUCUAUUUAUAAGCUUUCACUAUUUGAUGAGCCCGCGUUAGAUUAGCUAGUUGGUGAGGUAAAAGCUCACCAAGGCGACGAUCUUUAGCUGGUCUGAGAGGAUGAUCAGCCACACUGGGACUGAGACACGGCCCAGACUCC
rnacentral:rRNA from 1 species